rnacentral:rRNA from 1 species
AGCGAACGCUGGCGGCAGGCCUAACACAUGCAAGUCGAACGAACCCUUCGGGGUUAGUGGCGGACGGGUGAGUAACACGUGGGAACGUGCCUUUAGGUUCGGAAUAACUCAGGGAAACUUGCGCUAAUACCGAAUGUGCCCUUCGGGGGAAAGAUUUAUCGCCUUUAGAGCGGCCCGAGUCUGAUUAGCUAGUUGGUGAGGUAAUGGCUCACCAAGGCUACGAUCAGUAGCUGGUCUGAGAGGAUGACCAGCCACAUUGGGACUGAGACACGGCCCAAACUCCUACGGGAGGCAGCAGUGGGGAAUCUUGCGCAAUGGGCGAAAGCUUGACGCAGCCAUGGCGCGUGGAUGAUGAAGGUCUUAGGAUUGUAAAAUCCUUUCACCGGUGAAGAUAAUGACUGUAGCCGGAGAAGAAGCCCCGGCUAACUUCGUGCCAGCCGCCGCAGUAACAC